CUCUUCCUCUUCCGGGAAGCUGACUUCAAGCCAUGCCCUUCCCUUUUGCAAGCUCCCGUGGCUCGCGACCCGCAGCCCACCCCUGCACCAGUGGACACUGCGGGAUGGCCUGGCCUCGGCUCUGCAUUUUCACUUCUCUUAGCUCUCAUCUCCUCCACCACAGAGACAGCUCUGUCUGAGUAUCUUUCUGAUACUGUUCUUUAUCCCCCAGGACUGGCCCAGCCCAGGGCGGUGCGUACAGCAGACACUUAAUGUAACACAGUAGCAGCUUUUAAUUUCUCAGGCCAAUGAGAUACAGACAGUCACUGGUAUGGUAGUUUUUCAGUCAAGCAUCAAGGGUGUGUGCCCCUGGGGGACAUUGCAAAAUGCUGGGUGUGGGGAGCAGUUUGAACAGCAACAUUCAAUAUUACACCAUGUUUUCAUUUUUCAAAUGCAGGAAGAACUUAUUAGUUUGAAUUACAAACAACAGAAGUAGAAAACUCCACAAGGAAAAAUCUCAGCUGGUGAAGAAGCUCAGGAGCUCACAGAAGUGUGAUGAAGUAAUCAAACCAUCGCCAUCGGCUAAGGAAACCGAGGGGUGCAGAGCUGAUGUCGCUUGGCCCGCAAGCCACGGAGAGUGGGAGCAAGAGGAGGUUUGGUCAGGCUGCCUCUGCCCCUGUCUUUCUCGGCCCACAGGCUCCAAGCAGGCAGGACCAGACCGCAGCUUCCAGGUGCUGGGAUCCGGGGACCACACCUUCACCUGCUGCUCUCUUGAAGGAAAAACAAAUAUCUGCCUCUGGCAGGUAAAAAAAAAAUAAAAGGAGUGCGUCUCA